GUCCACGCUGUAAACGAUGAAUACUAGGUGUGGGUGGUCUCAAAAUCAUCCGUGCCGAAGCAAACGCGCUAAGUAUUCCGCCUGGGGAGUACGGCCGCAAGGCUAAAACUCAAAGGAAUUGACGGGGCCCGCACAAGCAGCGGAGCGUGUGGUUUAAUUCGAUGCUACACGAAGAACCUUACCUGGGUUUGACAUGCACGUAGUAGUGAAACGAAAGUGGAACGACUCUUCGGAGAGCGUGCACAGGUGCUGCAUGGCUGUCGU
rnacentral:rRNA from 1 species